GAAUUGAAGAUGCUUCAGAUUGCAUUGACUUCUAUCCGAAUGUAUCCCCUAUGAAAAUCAUUGGGGUAGAAGUCAGUAUAAUCUAAAGUUAUCAAUUA
rnacentral:pre_miRNA from 1 species